rnacentral:rRNA from 1 species
UACGAAGGGGGCUAGCGUUGUUCGGAAUUACUGGGCGUAAAGCGAGCGUAGGUUGCUCGACAAGUCAGUGGUGAAAGCCCAGAGCUCAACUCUGGAACUGCCAUUGAAACUGUCGAGCUGGAAUCUCAGAGGGGAUAGCGGAAUUCCAAAUGUAGAGGUGAAAUUCGUAGAUAUUUGGAGGAACACCGGUGGCGAAGGCGGCUAUCUGGAUGAGUAUUGACACUGAGGCUCGAAAGUGUGGGGAUCAAACAGG